GGAUAAUAAUUAGAAAAAAUUCUUCACAAUUUUUUUUUUAUUUAUAAACGAACAGAACUUCACUCGAAAAAAGUAUGACUUUGAUGAAUACUAAAUAUAGAAGAGUGUAAAAACUUUUCUUUCAUACUCUCUUUUUUUUUUUAUUUUUUUUUUCAAAAUUUCGAGCUUUGAUUUUAAUUCUAAAUUUGAUUAUUUCAUCUGAAGGUAUAAGCGUUUUUAUUUGUUUUGUUCUUUUAUUUGAAAAUAUAAUAUUUUUUAAAUAAAUAAUUGCGAUGACAAUAUGACUCUAAAAUUUAUAUAAUAUGAUCUCAAACUAAAUAAUUAUGUUUGGUAUAAAACCGAAUAAACCGAAAAUCGACGGUAUAUAAACCGAACCGAAGUAAAUAUGGAUUUAAAUGGUAAUUAUAUUUUAUUAAUCGAAAUAUCAAAAAACCAGAAAAACUGAACCGAAACUGAACCGAUAUCCAGAUUGAACACUUCUAGUUGUAAUAACAUUAAAAAAAAAAACAGCUGAUGGAAAAAAAAGAAGGACGAACGUAAUACAAUUUUGGGCCCAAAAAUAGUGGCCGUUACAAUAACAACAAAAGUCUACAAUUUAGCCCAAUAUUAUUUGUCAUUGACACACGGCUACACCGAAAGCCCUAAUCCACGACAAGGCAUCACUAUAUAACAAUUACACACACG
rnacentral:lncRNA from 1 species